UACGGAGGGGGCUAGCGUUGUUCGGAAUUACUGGGCGUAAAGCGCACGUAGGCGGCUUUGUAAGUUAGAGGUGAAAGCCCGGGGCUCAACUGAGGAAGGGCGCCCGAAACUGCAGAGCUUGAGUGCCGGAGAGGGUGGCGGAAUUCCCCAAGUAGAGGUGAAAUUCGUAGAUAUGGGGAGGAACACCGGUGGCGAAGGCGGCGAUCUGGGAAGAUACUGACGCUGAGGUGCGAAAGCGUGGGGAGCAAACAGG
rnacentral:rRNA from 1 species